rnacentral:rRNA from 1 species
UACGUAGGGUGCGAGCGUUGUCCGGAAUUACUGGGCGUAAAGAGCUCGUAGGUGGUUUGUCGCGUUGUUCGUGAAAUCUCACGGCUUAACUGUGAGCGUGCGGGCGAUACGGGCAGACUAGAGUACUGCAGGGGAGACUGGAAUUCCUGGUGUAGCGGGUGGAAUGCGCAGAUAUCAGGAGGAACACCGGUGGCGAAGGCGGGGUCUCUGGGCCGAUAUCGACGCUGAGGAGCGAAAGCGUGGGGAGCGAACAGG